rnacentral:lncRNA from 1 species
GCGAGGGAAUAGGAAAGCGGGGCAGCCAUCAUGGGUCUUACAGGAAAAUAACACCAACCCGUUUGUUGUUGCCAUUGGUAAGGCAACAGGAAACCUGUUGUCCUCUCCAUACCACCGCUGUAGAAUAGUGUGAACGAUGCUUCCAUGGUCAAUCUGUAGCAGAACCACAAGAGCAACAAGAGAGGUAUCAAGAAAGAAG